CCCUUAGAUGUCCGGGGCCGCACGCGCGCUACAUUGAAGGAAUCAGCGUGGCUUUCUCCCUGACCCGAAAGGGUUGGGAAACCCGUUGAAUCUCCUUCGUGAUAGGGAUUGGGGCUUGAAAUUGUUCCCCAUGAACGAGGAAUUCCCAGUAAGCGCGAGUCAUAAGCUCGCGUUGAUUACGUCCCUGCCCUUUGUACACACCGCCCGUCGCUACUACCGAUUGAACGGUUUAGUGAGGGCCUCGGAUUGGUCUCGGCCCGCUCUUUACCGGGCGGCGCCGUUGGUCGAGAAGACGCUCGAACUUGAUCGUUUAGAGGAAGUAAAAGUCGUAACA
rnacentral:rRNA from 1 species